rnacentral:lncRNA from 1 species
CUACUCCUCCUCGAUCCGUCGAGCUAGGGCACCAAACCCCGCUCCUCCGAGCUCCCCCCACCCCCCCCACGAUCCAAAUCCGAAGCCCAGAACCCCGAUUGGAGCUAUGUCGCCUCCUCCAUGCGAUCGAUCUCUAGGAAAUGGCGAUCGUAGGAGGAGGAGAGGGGGGAUCUGAGAGGGUCGUAGCGCUCCCCUGUUUGUUUCGCUCUCAUCCGAGUGGCCACGCGAUUAAUACGACAGAGAAGUUUAUGGAGCGAGGGAGACGAUGUCCGAGAUAUCGCAA